rnacentral:lncRNA from 1 species
AUUACCGUCCUUGGUAUCUCAAUGGUGAUGAUAACCUUGGCUCUAGCACAAACAUCCAUAGUGUAGUUACAGCAGCUGUGGACCCGGGAACUGCAGAAGGGCCCCACCUUUCAAGAGCAUGAUGUUGGUGGUAGUGGACACGCCGCCGCCAGUACCAGUGUACGGCAGGCAGGCUGUCGGGAUGGGAUUUUGCGGAGCUUGUGCUGCCGGUGAAGAAAGGGAAGUGUGGAGCUCCGUACGCGCGGCUAAUGACAAAUGAAAAUGCUCCAUGCUGUGUUCUCGAAGAGGUGAUGCUAACAUGGCACCUGUUAUGGAAGCCGUUUAUGGCUCAGAUAUUGGACAGCUGUGCCCGCGCAUAAAAGCGACUGCGCUGUUA